rnacentral:rRNA from 1 species
UACGUAGGGGGCAAGCGUUGUCCGGAAUCAUUGGGCGUAAAGCGCGUGUAGGCGGCCCGGUAAGUCCGCUGUGAAAGUCCAGGGCUCAACCCUGGGAUGCCGGUGGAUACUGUCGGGCUCGAGUCCGGAAGAGGAGUGUGGAAUUCCUGGUGUAGCGGUGAAAUGCGCAGAUAUCAGGAGGAACACCAAUGGCGAAGGCAGCACUCUGGGCCGGGACUGACGCUGAGACGCGAAAGCGUGGGGAGCAAACAGG